AUCCCUGUCUACCUUCCAGUGGCCUUCCAAAGAUUUCAGGAUGAAGUUAAAUGAAUGGAGAAAAUGACAUCACUGCAAAGGCCUGAGGCAAACUUUCAAAAUAGUCCCUUUCCUUUCUGGUGUCCUUGGCCAGUGGUACUGAUGGUUCUGCUGAGCAUCUUUAUUAACAGUGACAACAUCAGGCCACAGAAAAGCAGCAAGAUCCCCACUGGACACGGCAGAUGUCAAUGUAUUGCCU